rnacentral:ncRNA from 1 species
CCGCGCGGCGCCUCGCCUCGCCUGGGCUGGCUGGCGCCUAGCAGCCGACUUAGAACUGGUGCGGACCAGGGGAAUCCGACUGUUUGGUUAAAACAAAGCAUCGCGAAGCCCGUGGUGGGUGUUGACGCGACGUGAUUUCUGCCCAGUGCUCUGAAUUCAAAGGGAAGAAAUUCAAUGAAGCGCGGGUAAACGGCGCGAGUAACUAGGACUCUGUUAAGGUCGCCAAAUGCCUCGUCAUCUAAUUAGCGACGCGCAUGAAUGGAGGAACGAGAUUCCCACUGUCCCUACCUACUGACUAUCCAGCGGAACCACAGCCAAGGGAACGGGCUUGGAGGAAUCAGCAGAGAGAGAAGACCCUGUUGAGCUGACUCUACCCUGGUAGGUGAAGAGACAUGAGAGGUGUAGGAUGAGUGGGAGGCCCCGCCCCCUUCCCUGAGUCCCCGCUAGGGGGCGGGGAGGGGGGCACCCGGGCCAGCCUUGCAGGCUGCUAGUGAAGUACCAUGCUCUGAUCGAUUUUUCACUUGACCCGGUGAG